rnacentral:rRNA from 1 species
CGAGUGGCGAACGGCUGAGUAACACGUGGAGAACCUGCCCCCUCCUCGGGGAUAGCCGCGGGAAACCGCGGGUAACACCCGACGACCCCGGUGCCGCGCAUGCGGCGCCGGGCAAAUCUCCGGAGGGAGGGGAUGGCUCCGCGGCCCAUCAGGUAGACGGCGGGGUGACGGCCCACCGUGCCGACAACGGGUAGCCGGGUUGAGAGACCGACCGGCCAGAUUGGGACUGAGACACGGCCCAGACUCCUACGGGAGGCAGCAGUGGGGAAUCUUGCGCAAUGGGGGCAACCCUGACGCAGCGACGCCGCGUGCGGGACGGAGGCCU